rfam:Caenorhabditis briggsae complete genome, chrII
UUCUUGAGCUGGAAAGGUGACAUAAAAUCAUGUCCAAGCACGCGAUAUUAUGCACAUUUUCUAGUCCAAGAC